CGCGUAGGCGGGUUUCCAAGUCUGUGGCGAAAUCCUCCAGCUUAACUGGAGAAGUGCCGUGGAUACUGGGAACCUCGAGGAGGGUAGGGGCAUCUGGAACAGCCGGUGGAGCGGUGAAAUGCGUUGAUAUCGGCUGGAACUCCGAUGGCGAAGGCAAGGUGCUGGACCCUUUCUGACGCUGAGUGCGCGAAAGCCAGGGGAGCGAACG
rnacentral:rRNA from 1 species